ensembl:lncRNA novel transcript, sense intronic to EHD4
CAGAUUGGACAAUGCAGAAGCCCCGUCUAGCCCAGUGGUCACUGCCUUGUGGGACUACAGACCUGGAAGGCUCAAGAGAAGCUGGAAAUCUGGAUUUGUAUGUCAGAUCACCUGAUUUUCACAUUUAGGCUCAAAAAAAUACUAUGUAGGACAAACAAAGCCCACCUGCAUAUGGGCUGCACACAGAGACCACCAGUUACCAUCUUUUGCCUUGAGCCACAGAGUGACAGCAUUGAAGCCAGCAUAGAUUAAAAACUGCAAGCAGGUACAGCCCGAGGCAGGAGGAGGGAAAGGUGAAAGCAGAGAGGAUACAGGGAGAAGGGAAGGUCGGGCAGAAGAGGCAAGGGCCAGCAGGUGAUGAGAGGGGAACUUUGAUCCUAAGGGGUUUUUUAAUGCAAGCUUUAUAUAAAUUAUACACUAACUCAGAGGUGGGUUUUUCUUGCUGUUUUGAUGACAGCUCUUUACACCUGGAUUCAGAGUGAAUCAGUCUAAUAUAUUUGAUCUGACCCAA